rnacentral:rRNA from 1 species
GGAACGAACGCUGGCGGCAUGCCUAAUACAUGCAAGUCGAACGAACACUUCGGUGUUAGUGGCGCACGGGUGCGUAACGCGUGGGAAUCUGCCCUUGGGUUCGGAAUAACAGUUGGAAACGACUGCUAAUACCGGAUGAUAUCGAAAGAUCAAAGAUUUAUCGCCCAGGGAUGAGCCCGCGUAGGAUUAGCUAGUUGGUGAGGUAAAGGCUCACCAGGGCGACGAUCCUUAGCUGGUCUGAGAGGAUGAUCAGCCACACUGGGACUGAGACACGGCCCAGACUCCUACGGGAGGCAGCAGUGGGGAAUCUUGCGCAAUGGGCGAAAGCCUGACGCAGCCAUGCCGCGUGAAUGAUGAAGGUCUUAGGAUUGUAAAAUUCUUUCACCGGGACGAUAAUGACGGUACCCGGAGAAGAAGCCCCGGCUAACGUCGUGCCAGCAGCCGC